rnacentral:rRNA from 5 species
UUGACCUCGGAUCAGGUAGGGAUACCCGCUGAACUUAAGCAUAUCAAUAAGCGGAGGAAAAGAAACCAACCGGGAUUGCCUCAGUAACGGCGAGUGAAGCGGCAAGAGCUCAAAUUUGAAAUCUGGCCCCUCCGGGGUCCGAGUUGUAAUUUGCAGAGGAUGCUUCGGGUGCGGCCCCUGUCUAAGUGCCCUGGAACGGGCCGUCAGAGAGGGUGAGAAUCCCGUCUUGGGCAGGGUGCCCGUGCCCGUGUGAAGCUCCUUCGACGAGUCGAGUUGUUUGGGAAUGCAGCUCUAAAUGGGUGGUAAAUUUCAUCUAAAGCUAAAUACCGGCCGGAGACCGAUAGCGCACAAGUAGAGUGAUCGAAAGAUGAAAAGCACUUUGAAAAGAGAGUUAAACAGCACGUGAAAUUGUUGAAAGGGAAGCGCUUGCGACCAGACUCGGCCCCGGGGUUCAGCCAGCACUCGUGCUGGUGUACUUCCCCGGGGGCGGGCCAGCGUCGGUUUGGGCGGCCGGUCAAAGGCCCCAGGAAUGUGUCGCCCUCCGGGGCGUCUUAUAGCCUGGGGUGCAAUGCGGCCAGCCCGGACCGAGGAACGCGCUUCGGCACGGACGCUGGCGUAAUGGUCGCAAACGACC